rnacentral:rRNA from 1 species
ACGAACGCUGGCGGCGUGCCUCAUACAUGCAAGUAGCACGCUGAAGGAGGAGCUUGCUUCUCUGGAUGAGUUGCGAACGGGUGAGUAACGCGUAGGUAACCUGCCUGGUAGCGGGGGAUAACUAUUGGAAACGAUAGCUAAUACCGCAUAAGAGUAGAUGUUGCAUGACAUUUGCUUAAAAGGUGCAAUUGCAUCACUACCAGAUGGACCUGCGUUGUAUUAGCUAGUUGGUGGGGUAACGGCUCACCAAGGCGACGAUACAUAGCCGACCUGAGAGGGUGAUCGGCCACACUGGGACUGAGACACGGCCCAGACUCCUACGGGAGGCAGCAGUAGGGAAUCUUCGGCAAUGGACGGAAGUCUGACCGAGCAACGCCGCGUGAGUGAAGAAGGUUUUCGGAUCGUAAAGCUCUGUUGUAAGAGAAGAACGAGUGUGAGAGUGGAAAGUUCACACUGUGACGGUAUCUUACCAGAAAGGGACGGCUAACUACGUG